rnacentral:rRNA from 1 species
UGGGGAAUUUUGGACAAUGGGGGCAACCCUGAUCCAGCCAUGCCGCGUGAGUGAAGAAGGCCUUCGGGUUGUAAAGCUCUUUCGGCGGGGACGAUAAUGACGGUACCCGCAGAAUAAGCCCCGGCUAACUUCGUGCCAGCAGCCGCGGUAAUACGAAGGGGGCUAGCGUUGUUCGGAAUCACUGGGCGUAAAGCGCACGUAGGCGGAUGUGCCAGUCAGGGGUGAAAUCCCGGAGCUCAACUCCGGAACUGCCUCUGAUACUGCACGUCUUGAGUUCGAGAGAGGUGGGUGGAAUUCCUAGUGUAGAGGUGAAAUUCGUAGAUAUUAGGAAGAACACCGGUGGCGAAGGCGGCCCACUGGCUCGAUACUGACGCUGAGGUGCGAAAGCGUGGGGAGCAAACAGGAUUAGAUACCCCUGUAGUCCCUGAGCGGGCUGGCAAGGCGCAU